UACGUAGGGUGCAAGCGUUGUCCGGAUUUAUUGGGCGUAAAGAGCUCGUAGGCGGUCUGUCGCGUCGGAUGUGAAAACCCAGGGCUCAACCCUGGGCCUGCAUUCGAUACAGGCAGACUAGAGUAUGGCAGGGGAGACUGGAAUUCCUGGUGUAGCGGUGAAAUGCGCAGAUAUCGGGAGGAACACCGAUGGCGAAGGCAGCACUCUGGGCCGGCACUGACGCUGAGGAGCGAAAGCGUGGGGAGCAAACAGG
rnacentral:rRNA from 1 species